GCACUCGUGGCGAAAUUGGUAGACGCGCACGCUUGAGGUGCGUGUGGAGAAAUCCAUGGGAGUUCGAGUCUCCCCGAGUGCA
rnacentral:tRNA from 1 species